rnacentral:lncRNA from 1 species
CCGCGUACAAGUUAAAAAUGGUAUCUUCCUCACUAAUGCAAGCCCCCCAUCCACAUCUGACAUCUUGGCUUCAGAGCAGCUCGACAGGAAGCGCUCUUCAGAGAAUUUCAUCGAACAACAAGCUGCAUUCGGUAAUGGGACUGAAUCAAUUGACCAAUCACUUAACAUACAACCAAACAGAGCGAGAGCACAUACAUACGCUUAAAAGGUAGCCUGAUUCAAUAACUUGCAAACAAGCAACAUAAGAUACUUUCUAAAUAGCCACUUUUUAGGGAACCUUAUAGUAAGUACAGUUAUACUAAUCAAUGCUUUUAGAAAUAAGUUGACUUAAAUCAAAACAAUUUUCGGUCCUCAUAUUGGAAGUGCUCUAAUCUGAUGAUUUAAUCAACUUACCAGACCAGAAUUAUCCCAAGUUAUUCUGCUGAUAGAGAGAUCUGUUUCUAUAUGAGCAAAGAACGAAUGUGUCCGAUGGAGUGCCAUAUAUACUAAUGUUAUUUCUUGGAUAUUUUGAGAUUUUUUUAUGCAGAUAUAAACUUUCUUCAUUGUCCAAAAAUAUUUCAGUGUUCAGGAUAAGGCCACAGGCAAUG